AGGUUGCAGAGGUGAGCCCCGCACGGCUGCACAGAUUAUCCUAGUUUGACCAUUUCGUGUCUAAAUUUCAAGGGAUAAGGUCGCUUGUCGAUUUUGCUAUUUGCGUAAGUUUUCCGGCAACGCGCCCGUAGACGAGAGGAGCCCUCGCGUGUCUGUUGUCAAUGAACACAGCGCGAAACUGUGUGGUCAUUCAUUUUUCAGGCUGUCUCGAGUUUGCUAGCUCGUUAGCUGGCGGGCUAACUUGUUUACGCGUGCCGCGAGCGGAGAAGAGCACACAUCCAUGACCGCGAGCCUUUUAGCUGCUGGAGACUUGUUGUAGAGUUGUCGGGGAGUGAGCACACAGCUUGUUUAUCUGCCCUUGCAUUACAGUUGCGUCACCCAGCUAACUGAAGUAACUUCAGCCAGGAUCGCCGCCGCUAACUCGUGUGCAUCGUGUUUACCCGUAACCCGAGCUCCGUCAGCUCACUGCACUCGGGCCAGAGCUGCUCAGCCCCCCUCCCCCUUCAGAGACCAUGUCGGAGUUGUACAUUCGUGUGGCUGAGGAUGAAAGCGAAGAGCCGAUGGAGAUCCCCUCGGAGGACGACGGCACUGUUCUGCUGUCGUCGGUAGCGGCACAGUUUCCAGGGGCGUGCGGGCUGCGGUACCGGAACCUGGAGUCCCAGUGCAUGAGGGGGGUCCGGCUCGUGGAGGGUGUCCUGCAUGCACCCGAGAACGACUGGGGCAACUUGGUCUAUGUGGUCAAUUACCCCAAAGAUAACAAAAGGAAGAUGGAAGAAAUAGAUGCUGCCUCAGCUGUGAAAAUCAAAAGGGGCUUUCAGAAGACAUCAGAUCUCAUUGUCCUUGGGCUGCCGUGGAAAACUACAGAACAAGACCUGAAAGAUUAUUUCACUACCUUUGGGGAGGUCAUCAUGGUGCAGGUCAAGAGAGAUGCAAAGACUGGCAACUCAAAAGGGUUUGGGUUUGUCCGGUUCACCGAUUAUGAGACACAAACCAAAGUGAUUGCUCAGAGACACAUGAUUGAUGGACGAUGGUGUGACUGCAAGCUUCCCAAUUCAAAGGCGUGUCCUGAUGAGCCCAUGCGGAGCCGUAAAAUCUUUGUUGGCCGCUGCACAGAGGACAUGACAACUGAUGAACUCAGGCAGUACUUCAUGCAGUAUGGCGAAGUCACUGAUGUCUUUAUCCCCAAACCUUUCCGAGCGUUUGCAUUUGUCACAUUUGCCGAUGACCAGGUUGCCCAAGCCCUGUGUGGUGAGGACUUGAUCAUCAAGGGUGUCAGCGUGCACAUCUCCAAUGCCGAGCCCAAACACAAUAAUAGUAGGCAAAUGAUGGAUCGAGGGCGGUUUGGGGCUGUUCACCAACUCUUUCCCAAUUUCCCGGGAGGAAGCGCCUCAUUGGCAGCAAUGUUCGACAGAUCUCAGUAUCAAUUCCCCUCUUCCCAUGUGUAAAUGCUUUGUCAUCAAAGAACACAGCUUCACUCUGCAUAUACUGUGUUAGACGGGACCUCGGACAUGGACAACCCAGGUUUUCGUCUGAAUCCAGGUUGGAGUCAGUUAUGGAGAAGCUGAAGACAUUGUUGGGUGGGCCGGCACAAACCAACAAUGGAAUUGCUGCACGACUGCCUUAAUCCUGAAAAGGAUCUUCUUCACCUCACUAGCAAGAAACCUUGGACCAUCCCAUAAUGAAAUAUAGAGCGGACCAUACUUAAUUGGGCUGAGGUAUUUGUUUAUACCUACAAAUGUCACAAAUACGACCAAAGUCACACCUGCAGUUUGACAGAGAUCAUACUUCUAAAUCUUUUUUUUUUUUUUUUUUUUUCUUCAACCUUGUGAAACAAAGCCUGCCUUAAAUUUGACACAUGCAUUUCUGUCAUUGUUUGUCCUCAUAACAUCACUGAUAACUUAUGGAAGUAUUAACUGGUCGGUUUCUUUUCAGUGUGAUCAAAAAGAAUUUCGAUAAGGCAGUAUGUAACAAUAUUCUUGUUUUGUUUACUUUGAUUGUACGGUGGUUGGACUGUAUAAGCUAUGAGUGAUUUUCAAAGGGACUUCAACAACUGAUUGAACAUGCCAGCAGGAAUUCACACUUUCUGUAUUGAACUAUUUUAGUAUUGCGGUGUAAAAUAAAAGUUUUGAGUUUUUAA